rnacentral:rRNA from 1 species
UGAACGCUGGCGGCGUGCUUAACACAUGCAAGUCGAACGGAAAGGCUCCUGCCUGCAGGGGUACUCGAGUGGCGAACGGGUGAGUAACACGUGGGUGAUCUGCCCUGUACUUCGGGAUAAGCUUGGGAAACUGGGUCUAAUACCGGAUAUGACAAUCUAUUGGAUGGGGUUGUGGAAAGCUUUUGCGGUAUGGGAUGAGCUCGCGGCCUAUCAGCUUGUUGGUGGGGUAAUGGCCUACCAAGGCGUCGACGGGUAGCCGGCCUGAGAGGGUGUACGGCCACAUUGGGACUGAGAUACGGCCCAGACUCCUACGGGAGGCAGCAGUGGGGAAUAUUGCACAAUGGGCGCAAGCCUGAUGCAGCGACGCCGCGUGGGGGAUGACGGCCUUCGGGUUGUAAACUCCUUUCGCAACCGACGAAGCUUUUGUGACGGUAGGUUGAGAAGAAGCACCGGCUAACUACGUG